GUUUCCAUUAGCGUGGAGAACGAGGAUGGGGGAAGGGAUCCCAGCAAACUGAUCAGUACCAGGGGUUCGCUGCCCCAGCUUCCUUCCCAGGCCUCUGCCUGCAGGGGGUACAGGAAUCCUGACAGGAUGCCAGGGAGGGCAUCUGUGGAUUAUACGAAACAAGGGAUUUAGUAGAUGAUCGACAAGAUCCCUCCCAACCCAACCUGCACCAUUCUGUGACUCUGUGAGGUUUAGAGAAAGGACAAAAGCUGGGGAAAGGGACAGGUUACGAUGGCUAAGAGAGGAAAAAGUGAUAAAAUGGGCCAGCAGCACCUCAGCAGGGUGGUCAGCACACCUGUCUGACCAGGCCUGCACACCCAAUCAUCUCAGUCUGUCCUGCUUUAUUAAACUACCAUUUUUAACCAUUUUCCUGGAGGAGGGGGCUGCCUAUUUUUCAUCUGUGUGUAUGGAGCCAAGUGCCUGCCAGAAGCAAAGGGGCAAAGGUUCACAGGGGCCACAGUUCAGGGGUGCCAGGAACAAGAGCAACUGGCAUGUGUGCAGACUGUAUUGCCAGUGUAUGUAUGUACGUAUGUAUACAUACGUGUGUGUGUAUGCAAAUGGGGGACCAGGGGGUUCAGGUACUGGUCUGUGUGGCUGGCCACGUGAACAAGCAUAUCUGUACUCUCUGUGUGAUCUGUACUGUGUGUGUGUCCACGCACUCGGUCUUCCUUUCAGCUGGGUCACAGGCCAUGGAGCUGCAGCAGCAUCACCUGUCAGGCUACUGGAUUCCUAACCCCAAAUAUACUCUCCCUUCCCUUCCCUUCCUUUUUUUCUUUUUCUUUCUUUUUUUUCUUUCUUUUUUUUCCUUCCAAUAGUAACCUUCAUUGGCUUGUCUCAUACUAAACUGUAAAUCCUUUCUGAUAAAGGCAAAGCCUGAGUGAAUUCUGGAGCAGUUUAUGACCUUGACUAUACCCUGUGCUCUGUUGUUUUUUGUGUAUAUCCACCAAACAUCUCAUCCAGAGACCUACCUAAAACAGACUUGGAAGACCCAAAUGCAGUCCUCUGCAGGCAUCUGACCAGGAAUGCAGGCUGUGAGAAUCCUCUAAAAGCCUUAAAGAGCUCCAAGUGGCAGUUCUGAAACAUCUUGUCUCACCCACCUUCCCUGAGGAAUCAACAGCCAAACUGAGAAAGCAGAGAACCUCAGCAGAUCACUUACUGACACUUACUACACCACACAUUCCUGAUAUUAAAAACAUUUCCUCAGUA